UACAAGGACAUGAUAGUACUCCAUGUACAGUUAUGAGAAUGGUUGUUGGCUCAAGAAAAUCUGUCAUUUUGCAGGACCACCACAUAUGAAAAUAUGAUCACAUUGUUAGUUUACAUUUUCAACAGGUAUUUUUCCAUUGUGGCUGGAUUUUGGGCAUUUUUACAGUGUCAUCAUAUUUUGAAAAAAGUUUUCCAACACAGGAAACAGCAUACCGCAAACGCGUAACAAGACCUACAUGAGGAAGAAAAACAUAAAAGGCUGAAGGAAAGAGGAAAAGGAGUAGGAAGUACAGGAAGGCUGGAGGAAAAGUUGAGUCAUGGAGCCAAAACCAGAUGAGGACCAAGAAGGUUGAUAAUGGCCAGUUCACAUAUUGAUAAGAUUCCCCAACAUACUUAUGAUAAACAAGAAGCCAAGUCUAGGCUAGCUGGAAGCUACUAUUCCAAAGCCUGAGUACCACUACAGCGAAACCUUCAUCCUGAUGGUUGUCAGAUGAGCAUCUGAAGGUUGUGAUGUAAUUAAGAGGAUCUCUGGGAGUACCACAGUGUUACAUUUACAUUUACAAUGUAAUUGUAAUUAUAAGAGCAAUUGCAAGUUUAUGUUUGAUGUAACAUUAGAUCCCAACAAAUAUUUUUCUUACUUUUCUUUCUUUUUCAUCAUUGGAUGUAUUCAGCGGUAUUAUUUCAAGAAUAUUAUUUCUGAAUUAGCUCAAAACAAUCUCCCUUUUGUUCUUGUCUUCUUCAGCCUGGACUUACCUCCUGCAUUGUGCUGGUGAUAAUUGAUCAUUUCUGGGAUACCAUUAAAAAUAUGCUUCUCUGCCAGGUAGUACUUUUUGGGAUUGUCACUUGUUUCCUUGAUGUGAUAAUGCUUUAUGACUGGGUUAUUGUCAUUACUAAAAAAAGAGAAAUAAAAUGGGAUAAUAAUGGGAAAA